rnacentral:tRNA from 1 species
GUAGAUAUAGUUUAAUAAAAAUACUAGCCUGUGAAACUAGAAAUAGAAGCGCAAACCUUCUUAUCUACC